rnacentral:lncRNA from 1 species
AGAUCUGCAUUAUAAAUAGAGAAGCAUAUGUUAGCCUAAUAUUUCAUCAAAUAUCACACACUUUCUCUCUUUUCUAGUUUUCUGAUCAGGCAAAUUAAGAAGGGUUAAAAAUGGUGUUCUCAGCCAUACUAAGUUGCUUUGUUCCAUCAUCUUCCUCGUCCCGAGUCUACAAUGAUGCUGGUGGGUCUAGUGUGAAGGGACCUAAGAGCAAGUCAUCGAAAUCUUCAUCAAGAGCUCCGAUUCCGGUCUCUUACUUCCCUGUUAACUCCUACCUCUCUCGCAUGUAGUGAUUAAUUUCAUUGCAAGGUGGAGUUAGAAUUUGAAGAGUAUGAAUGGAUCAUUGAUUCAGUCUAGGUAUCAUAUGAUGGGGUUCUUCAUCAUGCAGUCGCUCAAGGAGUGAUGACGGAGUUGGUUUUCAUGUACAGUUUGAUUGAAGAAUAUUGUAUUAGAUCUUCAUCUUGUUAAUUUCCUCCAACUGCAUGCAAUAAACAGUUCUUUUUAAUAGAAAGUUGGGUACGAUGAUACCAUGAAAUUACCUGCAACCAAAUAAGACAUCAGCCCCUACUAUGAAAAUUAAGAAACACACAAAAAAGUUCAGUUGGGGUUUCCAUUGGAAAGAAUCGGUACUUGAAAUAUUGGCAAUCAGUGAUUACCAUAUGUAUAACUGCUAAGUAAACCCUAGAAUCAGUUAGGGUUUACCAUCAUCGAAGACAAAGGUUGUUCGUAUCAUAUAUUAAGCAAAAACUACUUACAUCAUACAGAAGAUAAUCAGUAAGGGAAGAAGUCUUAAAAAAAGAAAAGGAAACUGAACCUACGAUUUUGGAGAAAUUAGGGUGUAAUUUGAUCCACAAGGUGAUGACUGAUGAGUAGAUAUGCAUGGUGGGAUUUGCCCCAGCGGUCCAUGAUGAUAGAAGGCUAUUAUCCUUUUACACAAGCACUAAAAGAAAAAGGAAAAAUUAAGCCGCCAUGCUUUGUCUUUUCAUCCGCCCAAAAGUCUUGCAAUAUGCACCUCAAAUCAAACCUAAGAGUAUCAAUCACUCUCUUUCUCUCCAUCCAUUAAAAAGUAUUAAUUUCAAACUUGUGAUAUCUCACAUUGUAGGAAAUAAUAGCCUAAUAUUAUAUAUGUAUAGGUUUUUUAAUUUUGUACAUGUACUUUAAAGUUGUGAAUAUUGUUGAACUUAAAAUGGAUAAUAUCUACAUGAAAAAGAGUAAGUCAUUACAAAUGAUAUUAAAAUUGAUCAUCAAUCUUAAUGUGAGAGUUUAUUUGACCCUGCAAUGAAUCUUUUUAUUUCUAUGAUCCUAUGAGAUACCACAAAGAUAUUGUGUACUCAUAUGAGGGUGCGUUAUAUAUGUAUUGAUUCUUCUUCUUCUUAUAAAUAAAUUUUAAAGUUGUGAGUGCCUAUGAGACCCAAAGCGGAUUAGUACAAAUAUUUAUAUAGACUUACAUUUAAAUCUAAUAAAAUAUUAUUUGUUAUAUUAAAAUAAAUUGUUGUUUUUUUAAAUGAAUUGGAAAUAUUUUGAAGUGUUUGUUUAUAAAGAAUUUUAAUAAAUAAUUGAAGAUAUGAAGAUUGAUUGUAGGGGACUCCUGACAUGUGUUCAACAUUUCAAAUAUUGGCGAGUACCUAAGAUAUUUAUUUGAUAUUAUUCCAAAGGAGACUUUAGCUAAUAUGCUUUAAUUUUCUUAAUAGUUUUGGUCCCACCCUCUAUUUGUUUGUUCCCUAGAGCUUCAUAUAUAUAUAUUAGACUAGUCAAAAUUUGAAAGGUAAUAUAAUUUGACAUGAUUUGUCUUCAGACUUGGACGCUACAUUCCCCCUGUACAAAAGUUUGACUGUUAAUUCGGUUUUUUUCUAUAGUCAGAUUAAGCUGGCAGCAGCCGGCACGAUUGUCACAGGAAGCGCAAGGGAAUUUACCAUCUCAUAGAUUAAUCAAUUAGCUUUCCUUGCUAUGCAAGUAAAUCAACCCUACUUCCAUUUCAUAUCUGCAUUAUAAAUAGAGAAGCAUAUGUUAGUCUAAUAUUUCAUCAAAUGUCACACACUUCCUCUCAUUUCUAGUUUUCUCAGGAAAAUUAAGACGGGUUAAAAAUGGUCUUCUCAGCCAUAUUAAGUUGCUUUGUGCCAUCAUCUUCCUCGUCCCGAGUCUUCAAUGAUGCUGGUGGGUCUAGUGUGAAGGAACCUAAGAGCAAGUCAUCGAAAUCUUCAUCAAGAGCUCCGAUCCCGGUCUCUUACUUCCCUGUUAACUCAUACCUCUCUCGCUUGUAGUGAUUAAUUUCAUGGCAAGGUGGAGUUAGAAUUUGAAGAAUAUCAAUCGAUUAUUCAUUCAGUCUAGGUAUCAUAUGAUGGGGUUCUUCAUCAUGCAGUUGCUUGAGGAGCGAUGAUGGAGUUUGUUUUAAUGUACAGUUUGAUGAUUAAUUUGCAAUAAUUUGAUUGAAGAAUAUUGUAUUAGCUAGAUCUUCAUCUUGUUAAUUUCCUCCAACUGCAUGCAAUGAAACAGGUGUUUGAUGAUACCAUGGAAUUACCUGCAAAUAAAUAAGACAUCAAAACCAAUCUGAAAAUUCAGAAACAGCAAAAAAUUAAGUUCAGUUGGCCGGGGAUUCCAUUGGAAAUUAAGAAUCGGUACUUGAAAUGGAAAUUAGUGAUUACCAUAUGGAUAACAGCUAAUAAAACCCCAGAAUCAAUUAGGGUUUAUCAUCAUAUAUUAAGCAAAAACUACGUGCAUUAUACAGAUGAUGAUUGGUAAAGGAAGAAGUCUUAAAAAUGCAUGCCAAUGGAAAAAUUAGGGUGAAAUUUGAUCAACAGAGUGAUGAUUAGGUAUGCAUGAUGGGAUUUUCCCAAUCCGUCCAUGAUGAUAAAAGCCUAUUAUUCUUGUAAACAUGUACUAAAAGAAAAAGGAAAAAUUAAGCCCUCCUACUUUUCCUUUUCACCCCCCAAAAAGUCUCCACUAUGCACCUCAAAUCAAACCUAAAAAUCUCUAUCACUCUCUUUGUGUCCAUUGGUUAAGAAGUACUAAUUUCAAUAUUGUGAUAUCUCACAAGUAUAGAAAAAAAGUUUUUAACACUAUAUAUACACGAACUCCUUUUAAUCUAAUAAAGUCAUGAGUAUCUGUCAUACUAAGAACAAACAAUAUCUAUGUGAGAGAAAAAAAGUUGUUAUAAAUAGUAUUAGAGUUUAUCUUUGAUUUCGUUGUAGAAGUUUGUUUGACCCCACGAGGGGUAUCUGUUUCUUUAAUCCCACAAUCCUACUGAACAUAGUUAAGACGUUGUAUUCGUAUGAGAGUCUAUUCAUGUAUUAAUUCCUCUUAACCUAAUACACUACUUAUAAAGUUGUGAGUACGUAUUAAACUUAGAAUAUGUACUCAUAGUAGGUCAUUACAAAUAUUUAUGCGGACUUACAUUUAAAUCCAAUAAAAUAGUGUUACACAAAUAUUAUAUAAGUAUGAAACACACUCUCAUUUGAGUAUAUAUAUAUAUAUAUAUAUAUAUAUGUACACUACCGAAUAAUGGUUCCUUAAUUUGAUUAUAUGUCUAAACUAGACAAUUGAUAAAAAAAAUACUUUGAAAUGAAAUUGAUGUAAAAGAAAAUAAUGAGUUAUAUAAAGAGUAAUUAAUGCGACCUUUGGCCUUAUAAUUAAGUAUGGUUAAAUUACAUUUUUUAAUUCUCUUAGUAUGUGAGACCCAAAUUAUUGAAUAUUUUUUUAGGUUGUUAUUCAAUUGAUGAGAAUGACAAAUUUAUGGCUACCAACAAUGAUGUUUAUUAUUUAAAGCUACUCAUUUUGAAGAAGUCGCAUACCAAUCCUUAAACUAAAUCAAUUAGGUCUUAACUACUUUUUUAUUUAAUUUUUUUUUUGUAAUGAGUUGGUCAACACUGAAGCCUUAAUUUUAUGUUUGAAAACUUUAUUUUAAAUACACUUCUAUUAAAAAUAAGAAUAAUGUUAGUAUAUUUAAUAGUUAUUACUACUUUGGUCCCACUCUGGAUGUGUUCGUUCUCUGAAGCUUCCCAUUUUCUCUCGAAGGUAAUUUUUGUCUAAUGUCUCUCUAAGUUUUGAAAAGUUUUCUCAAAGACUUGGCCACCACAUCCCCCCUGGACAAAAGUUUAAUUUGGUCAAAUUAAGCAGCCAGAAUUUUCUCCAGAAGCUCAAGGGAACCAUCUCACAUAUUAUUUGGAUUUCCUUUCUAUGCAAGCAAAUCAGCACUAUAAAUAGCGAACAUCUUGGCAUAAUGUUUCAUCGGUCAUACUUCCUCUCAAUAUUUCUGGUUUUCUCAGACAAAUUAAGAAGGGUGAAGAAUGGGGUUCUCAGCUAUACUAAGUUGCUUUGUGCCAUCAUCUUCCUCAUCCCGAGUCUUCAAUGAUGCUGGUGGGUCUAGUGUGAAGGAACCUAAGAGCAAGUCAUCGAAAUCUUCAUCAAGAGCUCCUAUCCCUGUCUCUUACUUCCCCGUUAACUCCUACCUCUCUCGCUUGUAGUGAUUAAUUUCACUGCAAGAGUUAGAAUUUGAAGAGUAUGAAUGGAUCAUUGAUUCAGUCUAGGUAUCAUAUGAUGGGGUUCUUCAUCAUGCAGUCGCUCAAGGAGUGAUGAUGGAGCUGGUUUUCAUGUAUUGUUUGAUGAUUAAUUUGCAAUAAUUUGAUUCAAGAAUAUCGUAUUAGAUCUUCAUCUUGUUAAUUUCCUCCAACUGCAUGCAAUGAAACAGCUGUUCGAUGAUACCAUGGAAUUACCUGCAAACAAAUAAGACAUCAAUCCCAAUUCUGAAAAUUCAGAAACAAGAAGAAAUUAAGUUCAGUUGGGGUUUCCAUUGGAAAUUAAGAAUUGGUACUUGAAAUGGCAAUAAGUGAUAACCAUAUGCGUACAGCUAGUUAAACCCCAGAAUCAGUUAGGGUUUAUCAUCAUGUAUUAAGCAAAAACUACUAAUUACAUUAUACAGAUGAUGAUCUAAAAGGAAGAAGUCUUAAAAGCCUAUUAUUCUUGUUUCCACAUGCACUAAAGGAAAACGGAAAAAUAAAGCCACCUGCUUUGCCUUUUCAUUCUCCCAAAAGUCUCCAAUAUGCACCUCAAAUCAAACCUAUGAAUCUCUGUCACUCUCUUUCUCUCCAUUAGUUAAGAAGUACUAAUUUCAAUACUGUGAAAUCUCACAAAUAUAGGAAAAAAUUUCCUAAUGCUAUAUAUACAUGAAUUCCUUUAAAUUUUAUAAAUUCAUUUUGAAGUUGAGUACCUUUUAAACUUAGAACGAGAACAAGUUGUUAUAAAUAGUAUUAAAGCCGAUCUUUGACCUUAUGUGAGAGUUUGUUUGACUCUAUAAGGGAUAUUUGACUUCUUUUUUUUUGUUCCACAAACUUAUGAAACAUAAUGAAAACAUUGUAUUUGUAUGAGAAUAUGUUAUUUAUGUAUGGACUUCUCUUAACCUGGUAUGAAACUUUUGAAGUUAUGAGUAUUUAUUGAACUCCGAGUAAGUUAUUAUAAAUAUUUAUGCAGACUUAUAUUCAAAUCCAGUAAAAUAGUGGGGAAAAGAUAAAAAACAUAACUUCAAUAUUAUUUGUUACACUUUUGGACUCAUGACCUCCUAUUGCAUAAACCUGAUUUUAAUAUACCAUCUUAAGUUAUUAAUUUUUUUAAAUACAUAAAUUGUUAGGUAAUAGACUAGUGAUGUAUCGGCUCUAACAUGUUGGACUUAUCUUUAAAUUGAACAUGUCCAACAUACUUGUUAGUGGAACCUAAUUAAUUGUUCAUUUGAAAGUGUCUUUUCCAUUCAUCUAAAACGUGCACAGUAAAUUCACAAACCCACCAAACUUGAUGGAACCAUUGGCUGAACAUACCAACUAUAUGUUAGCUAGCUUGCUCUUCCUUUCUCUACAUGGUAAGUAACAAAGGGGUAUUUAAUGUUUUAAUUAAAGUCAUUAAAUUUGGUAACUUCGCUGUUACAAAGAUCAACAACAAAAGUACCAAGAUUCAUAAAUAAGUUCAUCAUUUUCUUGUUCUUAGCAUUUGUAUCUAAGUGAAGCUAUGAAAAGAGUUCAAUUCUUUGUUACCCCACAAACCACAAUCAUUUUUCUUGCUAUUAGCAUCACUUCUAAUAAGUCAAUGUUGCCAUAACUCUUUCGGGUGUUCUACACUUUUAAAACUGCAUUGAUUUUUUUUUUUUUUUUUAAUUAUGAGUUUCUUUGUUCUCUAAAAUAUGGGUGAAUUAUACUAAGAAGUAUAAAUUCAGGAUUGAGAUUUAUAUCUAAAAAUUCAUAAAAGUUACAUUUGAUUUUUAAAAUAAUGCUUUUAGUAUUUUAAAAACUUUGCCAAUUGGGUUUAAAAAUUAGGCCAUUGAUAAAAAAAAUAUAAGGUUAAAAAAAAGAGAGUUAUAUAUAAAGUAGUGAGACCUUAUUUGACCUUACAAUUAAGUGUGGUUAAAUUACAUUUUUUAAUCCUUUUGGAAUGUAGAGACCCAAAUUAAUGAACAUUUUUUUAAGGGUGUUAUUCAAUUUAUGAGAAUGGCAAAUUUCCGGCUACCAACAAUGAUGUUUAUUAUUUAAGGCUACUAAUUUUGAAGAAGUCAACCACCAAUCCUUAAACUAAAUCAAUUAGGUCUUAACUACUUUUUUUCUUUAAUUUUUCUUGUAAUGAGUUGGUCAACCCUGAAGCCUUAAUUUUAUGUUUGAAAACUUUAUUUUAAAUACACUUCUAUUAAAAAUAAGAAUAAUGUUACCACCAUGGAUGUGUUUGUUCUCUGAAGCUUCCCAUUUUCUCUCAAAGGUAAUUUUUGUCUAAUGUCUUCCUAUUAUGAUUGUAUGUAAGAGUCUAAGUUUUGAAAAGUUUUCUCAAAGACUUGGCCACCACAUCCCCCGUGGACAAAAGUUUAAUUUGUCAAAUUAAGCAGCCAGAAUUUUCUCCACAAGCUCAAGGGAACCAUCUCAAAUAUUAUGUGGAUUUCCUUUCUAUGCUACCAAAUCAGCACUAUAAAUAGAGAGGCAUCUUGGCCUAAUACGUCAUCGGUCAUACUUCCUCUCAAUAUUUCUAGUUUUCUAAGGAGGGUGAAGAAUGGAGUUCUCAGCCAUACGAAGUUGCCUUGUGCCAUCAUCUUCCUCAUCCCGAGUCUUCAAUGAUGCCGGUGGUCUAUUGUGAAGGAACCUAAGAGCAAGUCAUCAAAAUCAUCAGCAAGAGCUCCGAUCCCGGUCUCUUACUUCACUGUUAACUCCUUCCUCUCUCGAUUGUAGUGAUUAAUUUCAUUGCAAGGUGGAGUUAGAAUUUGAAAAGAAUAUCAAUGGAUCAUUGAUUCAGUCUAGGUAUUAUAUGAUGGGUUCUUCAUCAUGCGGUUGAUUGAGAAGUGAUGAUAGAGUUUGUUUUUCAUGUACUGUACUUUGAUGAUUGAUUUGUAAUUUGAUUCAAGCGCAUUAUGUUAGAUCUUCAUAUCGUGAAUUUCCUCCUACCGGCUGCAAUGAAACAGCUGUUUUAAUACAAAUAAUUAAGACAUCAACCCCAGGUCGAUUUUGUCAUAAGUACUUUUUCAGGUGUUCUAUACUUUUUUGAAAGCGCGGACACGACAUUUCUUGAGAGAAUUAAAAUUAGAGUCAAAGCCGUCUCAACGCAAACGUCAUCCAUUAGAGUUUGAGAUCAGGAUAAGAAAAGAAAAAAAAGAAGGUUGAAUGAAUCAAUGGAUGUUAAUUGAUGUCCAAUUUGUGAACGUGCUUGUGUGUCUAUAUAUAUAUAUAUAUAGAAAGAAAGUAUCUCAUCCGUUAAAGUUUGUGAUCAGGAUAAGAGAAAAAAAAAAAAAGGCCGGUUGAAUGAAUCAAUGGGGUUAAUUGAUGUAUAAUUUGUGAGCGUGAUUGUGUGCCUAGAAAGUAUCUCGUCCAUUAGAGUUUGUGAUCAGGAUAAGAGAAAGAAAAAGGUUGAAUGAAUCAAUGGGGGUUAAUUGAUGACUAAUAUGAGAGAGAGAGAGAGAGAGAGAGAGAGAGAGAGAGUAUUGCAUACUUUUUGGAGGAUUAAAAGGCAAAGGGCAUAGGCUUUUAUGAUCAUGGACCUAUAGGGCAAAUCCCACCAUGCAUACCUAAUCAUCACUCUGUGGAUCAAAUUUCACCCGAAUUCCUCCAAAAUUCAUCUGUAUUAUGUAGGUAGUUUUUGCUUAAUACAUGAUAAACCCUAAUUGAUUUUGGGCUUUAAUUAGCUCUUAUCCCUAUGGUUUACCUAUAUUGCUCAAUUCUUUCCAUUGGAAAAUUCUUACUGAACUUCUUUUGUUGUUUCUAAAUUUUCAGAAUAGGGUUGAUGCCUUAUUUGGUUGCAGUUAAUUUCAUGGUAUCAUUGUGCCGGACUUUCGAUUAAAAACAGCUGUUUUAUGGCAUGCAGUUGGAGAAAAUUAACAAGAUGAAGAUCUAAUACCAUAUUCUUGAAUCAAAUUAUUGCAAAUCAAUCAUCAAACUGUACAUGAAAACCAGCUCCAUCAUCACUCUGCAUGACGAAGAACUCCAUCAUAUAAUAAUACCUAGACUGAAUCAAUGACCCAUUGAUACUCUUCAAAUUCUAACUCCACCUAGCAGUGAAAUUAAUCACUACAAGCGAGAGAGGUAGGAGUUAACGGGGAAGUAAGAGACCGGGAUCGGAGCUCUUGAUGAAGAUUUUGAUGACUUGCUCUUAGGUUCCUUCACACUAGAGCCACCAGCAUCAUUGAAGACUCGGGACGAGGAAGAUGAUGGCACAAAGCAACUUAGUAUGGCUGAGAACACCAUUUUUAACCCUUCUUUUGCCUGAUCAGAAAACUUGAAAUGAGAGGCAGUAUGAUUGAUGAGAUAUUAGGCUAAGAUGUUUCUCUAUUUAUACAGUAGAUUGGAAAUGGAAGUGGGGUUGAUUUACUUGCAUAGCAAGGAAAUAAAGCCAAAUCAUAUAUGAGAUGGUUCCCUUGAGUUUCUGGGGAAAAUUC